UUAGGAUCAGUGUCAAUGUCUUUUUGUCUCUGUUUCCCACCUCUUAUUUUACCUUUCUCCACACCGCCGCUCCAAUCGAUCCUUCCAGUUUCAAAAUAAGCGAUCGUCUCUCUCUCCAUCACCGACACCCCAGUGCUUUCUAAGGGCGUUCGUCUUGGUGGUGAUAGACGAGUAGGGGUCUCUACCGGAACUGGUGGGGUCACUAAGUCGAUUGUCUCCACCAUAGAGAAACCUUCUUCAAUGUUGAACGAAGCAAAAUCUUAGAGACCUGUUCAUUCGUUCCUUUCAACCUCCGUAUUGUAGCGAUUGAGAUCAAUUUUACUUGCAAUUUCUAAAAUCGAACACACACACACACAUCAAUUUCAACGACACCCAGUUCAAUUACACGCUGAUUCGAUCUUCCACCGUUUCCUUUCCCACUGCCUCAAAGUCCAUUGGAAAUUGAUGCUGACUCUCCCCAUCGCUUACCGGUCCAUCAUCCACCCACAAUCGUUGCCCAACACCAACAGGGCUGCUUGGCAUCAACACAUAACCAAGAGAUGUGGCACCUAAUUAAAAUAGGAGUUAAAUAAGUUUGGUUUUUUGCUGAAAGAGAAGCCACUGAGUCUUCCGCCCAUGACAGUCAACACCAACCUCAGAUCUUGACAGAUUUACAGCCAUACCAGGCUUUUUUUGACGGCAAGAUUAGGGUUUUCUUACUGCACACAAUGUGUUCGACAAAAUGUCACACUGAAGAUUUUCUGCUUUGAUUGCCUUCAAUUGUCAGGCUUGCAUUUUUCUAUUUUGUGGUUCUUUUUUUGCGUAGUGUUUGACAAGAUGUAGGUGGGAUCUUCUGUGAAUAUAGUAAAAGGUUGAACUGAGUUGUGCAGCUCCGUUGCCAAGUCUCAUGUUAUGUGUGUUGCAUGUGGUUCAGCGCAUUUCUUGGUGGUGGUUGAUAGGUCAAAUAUGGGGAAAUGGCUUGACAAGGAAGGGCAUAUAGUAUUGUGUUAGCCGAAAGAGUUGUGGUAAAUUUGAUCCAAAGAAUGAGUGGCAUAACCACACUCACAAAGAUAACAAUAAAUCAGUCGCUGAAGCAGGUAUCAUCUUUAUUAUGGGAAUUAUGAGCUUGGUCCACGACUGGAGGUGCUCAUGUAGUAUGCAAAGCACGCGGUAAAUGUCAGUAGCUAUUUGGUUCCAAUUUGAAGUUUUGGAUAAAUGAGCAGACACAGCCGAGAUUUUUGAUUCCUCCGAUUUUGCAUGGUCAACUCUACAUAACACCAUAUCAAGUGGACAAAAAGGGAAAUGGACAUGAUGAUAUAUCAGCAACUGAAAAAAGAUGAUGAACUGCCAAAAAUGCCUGCUUCACAGUAUUGUAAAACAUUUCAGUUCAUAGGAGCACAUCAGAUCCCUUUGCCCCCCGCGAACCGGGGGUUACCAAUCUAGUUAUAAUGAUGGAAAUUAAAAUGUUAAACAAAUAAAUUUUACAAAAAUGAUUAACAAUAACAAACACUAAAAAUAACAUCAAAUCAUAUAUUAUAUUUUAUUUUAUUAAUGAGUAA